rnacentral:lncRNA from 1 species
AAAAAAGUAUCAUCCAAAAGACACAGAUAUGUGGUUAUCUGAUAUAAAAUACAUCUAGUACAUAUACACUUAUCAACAAAACUGUUUAACAUACAUUUACACCUAUGGCUUUGACUAUGCAAUGCAAUUUUCUCCGAGGUACAAUAAUAUUUGAAUUCCUUUACAGUACCCUUUUGUGUUAGUUUGGAGACACUCACACCAAAUUUAUAUUUGAUACAGUACAUCACUAACAUGGUUUCAUUGACUUAAAUAUUGUUUCAGUUUAUAUCUGACGGAUAAAUUUGAUCAAAAGCUGGAAGUAUAAAAUAUUGAUUCACUGGUGGCUAAAUAUUCAAAGAUUUAAACGGGCUACUCAAAUGGUAAUAGUACAUAAUGCUGACGCAAAGCUAACCUGUCCUGCUUUAAAUUUUAAAAUCUGCGUUCUUGGCGGAGAAGUAGCAAAUGACUAAUAAUUUAAAGUUUUUGAAUUGACCUAACCGGUGAAAGAACCCACUAGAACCCACGAUAUCACGCUUUUAAUGCGAGCACUACCACGAGACCUUACAAGUGGCGUGGGAGUAUAAAAUGAGACUUUUAAAAUUAUUCUAUAUGACAAAUGAAGAAAUCAAAAACAAAUAAUAGACUUCGUAAGAAGUAAGAAUCGGUCAAGCUGAGUAGAAAAAGAAAACUAUUCCUAAUUAAAGUGGUAUUACAUUAAUCACAACCAUUUCAAACAUAUCACAUAUAAAUAAAGUUUGCCUAAAUC